AGGUUAUUUCUUAUAUUAUACUUGAAGAAGCUGAAUAUAAACUAAGAGAUACUAUCAGUAGCGAAGAGAAGGAAACAAUUGAAUUGAAACAAGAACUAUCAAUGAUGAAAGUACUAGAGGAAGAAUCAUUGUCUGUUCAAAGUGAUACUGAAUCAAUUAAAGAAGUU